rnacentral:lncRNA from 1 species
GUGAUUAAGUCAUGAGAGUGGAACCCUCAUAAAUGAGAUUAGUGCCUUGGUAAAAGAGGUGCAAGGGAACUGUUCACCCCUUCCUCCAGGUGAAGAGCCACAAGAAGAUGCCAUAUUGGAAGCAGAAAGCAAGCCCUCGCCAGGCACUGAAUCUGCUUGAUCUGGGACUUCCCAGCAUCUAGAACUAGAAACAGAACCAAUGGGAUGUACAUAAAGAGAUUUAUUGUAAGAAAUCGGCACAUGUGAUUAUGGAGGCUGACAAAUCCCAAGAUCUGCAGGGGGAGGUGGCAAGCUGGAGACUCAGAAGCUGUUUCGGAAAAAAAGAAAUAGAGGUUUAAAGAACACAGAACAUACCUUCAACCGUCAUGGCAGGGUGGUGGACCACGAGGAAAUGACUGUGACAAGUCAGCUAAUCUUGGAACAAAUUAGGGAAGGAAAUGAUGAACAACAGCUGCAAAGAAAAAAAUGCAAGAAUUUGCAAAUGAUGUCCACUUUGUCUUUAAUUUACCCAAUGCUGGAAAGAAUACUGGUCACCUCACUUUUCGGUAAUAUACGCACCAUCGUCUUCAGACACAGAAGAAUGAGAAAUAAUUAAAAGUCACUGAGACGGCUCUCACCUCCUGUACUUCAUUAUCACACAAUGUCUUGCUAGAGAGGCAUUUUCAUUCCAGAUGAAUAUGUGGUUGAUUAGCGCUUUUCCAAAAGCAAAUUGUCUGAGGUUCUCUGUACUGCAUUUCCUGGUACCAAUUCCUCAUUAAGGUGAUUCAUGAAUUUUUUUUCAAUUAGGUUCGUAUGUCUUUUUAAAAAUCAAUUUGGUGUCUACCUUUCAACUAAAUGAAUGAGCCAGUGUAUCAUUCAGACAGGUGUGGACUUGCAUAACUAUUAAGUUAAAUGAGCCUUUCAUAGAAUUGAGAAAAUGGGCAAGGAUUAAAAGUGGAAUCUGAACAGGAAUCACUAUUUCAAAAAGAACAAAUUAGAAAAUAUGAAUAAACAGGUGAACUACAUGAGCCCUUCCAUUCAGAAUAGCAUGGCGGGUAAGCAUGGGCUCUGGAGUCAGACUUCUCUGAGUUCCAAUCUUGGCUCUUUUGCUAACUUCCUUUGUAAUUAAACAAGGUCGUAACACUUUCCACCUCUCAGCUUUUUCAUGUGUGAGAUGAGAUCAUGAUAGCAGCUGUGUCCUUGGGUGGUGGUGAGAAUUAAAUGGGAAAUCGCCUUUAAAGCACUGAAC